rnacentral:lncRNA from 1 species
AAGGAUGUUCGCUGCUCAGUUUCAAAAUAAAUAACUUUUCAUAAAACUAGUAUGUAUUGAUAGGGAAUAAAUUGAGGAAUAUAUAUAUAUAAAAAAAGAAUAUAGGGGCCAAUGUGCUUAUUUUCGAGAUAUUAGCCAUUGGAAUUUUGGAGGGAAAAUGUUCUCUCUUGAUUUUUCAUAGCUUUAUCAUUAACCAGUUAAAGUUCUCAAAAACUAUUAAAAAAUAAAUAAAAUUUUAUAAGAUAUUUACAAAUGACUUAUAAUUAUACAUGUAAAAGAUUUAAAAAAAGAAAAAUGGGGGUUCAUGGGGAUUUUUUUUUAGGGCAUACAAAUGGAUAAAACCAAAGGAUUCCGAAAAUCUGACAAAAAUUCC